rnacentral:rRNA from 1 species
GUGGGGAAUUUUGGACAAUGGGGGCAACCCUGAUCCAGCCAUGCCGCGUGCGGGAAGAAGGCCUUCGGGUUGUAAACCGCUUUUGUCAGGGAAGAAAUCCUUUGGGUUAAUACCUCGGAGGGAUGACGGUACCUGAAGAAUAAGCACCGGCUAACUGCGUGCCAGCAGCCGCGGUAAUACGUAGGGUGCGAGCGUUAAUCGGAAUUACUGGGCGUAAAGCGUGCGCAGGCGGGUUUGUAAGAUCGAUGUGAAAUCCCCGGGCUCAACCUGGGAACUGCAUUGGUGACUGCAAGGCUGGAGUGCGGCAGAGGGGGAUGGAAUUCCGCGUGUAGCAGUGAAAUGCGUAGAUAUGCGGAGGAACACCGAUGGCGAAGGCAAUCCCCUGGGCCUGCACUGACGCUCAUGCACGAAAGCGUGGGGAGCAAACAGGAUUAGAAACCCGUGUAGUCC